rnacentral:tRNA from 1 species
UGCUUGGGUAGCUCAGUUGGUAGAGCACUUGCCCGUGAAAGGCAAAGGUCCCGAGUUCGAAUCUCGGUCCAGCAC